UCUUGGCUCAGGAUGAACGCUAGCUACAGGCUUAACACAUGCAAGUCGAGGGGCAGCAUGAACAUAGCUUGCUAUGUUUGAUGGCGACCGGCGCACGGGUGCGUAACACGUAUCCAAUCUACCCAUGGCUCGGGGAUAGCCUUUCGAAAGAAAGAUUAAUACCUGAUGGUGUUCAAAUUCCGCAUGUUAUUUGAACUAAAGAUUUAUCGGUAACGGAUGGGGAUGCGUGACAUUAGGUAGAUGGCGGGGUAACGGCCCACCAUGCCUACGAUCAGUAGGGGUUCUGAGAGGAAGGUCCCCCACAUUGGAACUGAGACACGGUCCAAACUCCUACGGGAGGCAGCAGUGAGGAAUAUUGGUCAAUGGACGAGAGUCUGAACCAGCCAAGUAGCGUGAAGGAUGACUGCCCUAUGGGUUGUAAACUUCUUUUGUUUGGGAAUAAAGUGAGGGACGUGUCCCUUUUUGUAUGUACCAUUCGAAUAAGCAUCGGCUAAUUCCGUG
rnacentral:rRNA from 1 species